rnacentral:rRNA from 1 species
GUGAACCGUUUGGAGGUAAACGGGUGGGAGCGCGAAGGUCGAACGGAUGGGAAGGGAUUCAACUUGGCGUAGUAUGCUGGUCGAGCUGUGUGGGAACUAUUUGAGACUUUUCGGAGAAUCAUCUAAGUUUUUUCAUGCGGCUUGUACUUAGUAGUCUACUGUGCCUUGUGCAUUUCCCUAAUUCCCCUCUCCUAGUAGGACGCCGCGACCGGCUGUCGAGGGGAGCCCAGGAGCUGGUUGGAGCAGUUGCGCGGAUGAGUAAGGGAUUAGUUCUCUGCGUCUGGUCUGUCUGUCUCCUUCCACUAGCGGGUUUGCUUCCUCCGGCCGAGGAACUGUGCGAGCUGGGCUCUUUUAGAGUCCCUCGUCCAUUAACGCGCCCAGGAUCUGUCGGUGCGGGUCGAUAAAACCCCACGGGUGGCAGCAGGUGUCUGAGCGCCAGUCCUUGUGAUUGCGCGUUUAGAUACUUUGCGUCAGCCGCCGUCGGUCAGGGUGUGGACUCCCGCUAAGGGGUGCUGGGGGUCAGCGGCGAGUAGGUCGGUUUCCCACCCGACCCGUCUUGAAACACGGACCAAGAAGUCUAACGUGUGGGCGAGUCUUCGGGGUAUUAUUAACCCUUUAGAAGGCGAAAUGAAAGUGAAGGCUCUGUGCACUUCGGUGCAUAUCCUGGGUGGGAUCCGUUGUCUAAAGGCAAUGGCGCACCACCGGCCCGUCCAACGAUCGCAUUGCCGGUCGGGCGGAGCAAGAGCCCACACGUUGGGACCCGAAAGAUGGUGAACUAUGCCUGGGCAGGACGAGGCCAGAGGAAACUCUGGUGGAAGUCCGCAGCGGUUCUGACGUGCAAAUCGAUCGUCGGACCUGGGUAUAGGGGCGAAAGAUAAUCGAAC